rnacentral:rRNA from 1 species
AGAGUUUGAUCCUGGCUCAGAUUGAACGCUGGCGGCAUGCCUUACACAUGCAAGUCGAACGGUAACAGGUUAAGCUGACGAGUGGCGAACGGGUGAGUAAUAUAUCGGAACGUGCCCAGUAGUGGGGGAUAGCCCGGCGAAAGCCGGAUUAAUACCGCAUACGACCUACGGGUGAAAGGGGGGGAUCGCAAGACCUCCCGCUAUUGGAGCGGCCGAUAUCAGAUUAGCUAGUUGGUGGGGUAAAAGCUCACCAAGGCGACGAUCUGUAGCUGGUCUGAGAGGACGACCAGCCACACUGGGACUGAGACACGGCCCAGACUCCUACGGGAGGCAGCAGUGGGGAAUUUUGGACAAUGGACGAAAGUCUGAUCCAGCCAUGCCGCGUGCGGGAAGAAGGCCUUCGGGUUGUAAACCGCUUUUGUCAGGGAAGAAAUCCUUUGAACUAAU